rnacentral:tRNA from 1 species
CAUCGCAUAGUAUCCCCUUUAUAUAUUUUUGAUAGUACAAGAAAUUGUAAGUUUCUAGGAGCAUAGUUUUUAAGUGCUGUGGUGU